rnacentral:rRNA from 1 species
UACGUAGGGUGCGAGCGUUGUCCGGAAUUACUGGGCGUAAAGAGCUCGUAGGUGGUUUGUCGCGUUGUUCGUGAAAACCGGGGGCUUAACCCUCGGCGUGCGGGCGAUACGGGCAGACUGGAGUACUGCAGGGGAGACUGGAAUUCCAGGUGUAGCGGUGAAAUGCGUUGAUAUCUGGAGGAACACCGGUGGCGAAGGCGGCAUCCUGGACCGAUACUGACGCUGAGGAGCGAAAGCCAGGGGAGCAAACGGG